rnacentral:rRNA from 1 species
UACGGAGGGUGCAAGCGUUAUCCGGAUUCACUGGGUUUAAAGGUGUGUAGGCGGGCAGAUAAGUCAGUGGUGAAAUCCCCGAGCUUAACUUGGGAACUGCCAUUGAUACUAUUUGUCUUGAAUGUCGUGGAGGUUAGCGGAAUAUGGUCAUGUAGCGGUGAAAUGCUUAGAGGAUGACAUAGAACACCUAUUGCGAAGGCAGCUUACUACGCAGAUAUUGACGCUCAUGCACGAAAGCGUGGGGAUCAAACAGG